CGCUGAACUUAAGCAUAUCACUAAGCGGAGGAAAAGAAAC
rnacentral:rRNA from 2 species